AUUUUGGGGUGACAUUUCCUGAACUUUUUUUUUUUUUUUUUAGAAACCAGGAAAGCCAGAAACCCAACCUACUUUCUCCAUCUCUCAAGGCCUUCCCAGUAGCCAAGACUUCUCUCUCUCGGGGUCUCACAUCCCUUUGGGGACCAGCAUCUCCAGAGGGAGGCCCUUCUGGCUCUGCCACGGGCUGACUGUCAGUGUCUAACGAUCCAGAGGUUCCAGCGAGGUCCUAGCUGAGGCCUUAUCCAGUGACCUGGGGAUGAGGCGAGGGGGAGGUGAGGGGCUCACAUCCAGGACUUUUCUGGAUCUACCGCCCAGUCUUGCGCCCCAGG
rnacentral:lncRNA from 1 species